rnacentral:rRNA from 1 species
AUUGAACGCUGGCGGCAUGCCUUACACAUGCAAGUCGAACGGUAACAGGUUAAGCUGACGAGUGGCGAACGGGUGAGUAAUACAUCGGAACGUGCCCAGUAGUGGGGGAUAGCCCGGCGAAAGCUGGAUUAAUACCGCAUACGACCUAAGGGUGAAAGGGGGGGAUCGCAAGACCUCUCGCUAUUGGAGCGGCCGAUGUCAGAUUAGCUAGUUGGUGGGGUAAAAGCUCACCAAGGCGACGAUCUGUAGCUGGUCUGAGAGGACGACCAGCCACACUGGGACUGAGACACGGCCCAGACUCCUACGGGAGGCAGCAGUGGGGAAUUUUGGACAAUGGGCGCAAGCCUGAUCCAGCCAUGCCGCGUGCGGGAAGAAGGCCUUCGGGUUGUAAACCGCUUUUGUCAGGGAAGAAAUCCUUUGGGUUAAUACCUCGGGGGGAUGACGGUACCUGAAGAAUAAGCACCGGCUAACUACGUG